rnacentral:rRNA from 1 species
UACAGAGGUCCCAAGCGUUGUUCGGAUUUACUGGGCGUAAAGGGUGCGUAGGUGGCAGUGCAAGUCUGGCGUGAAAUCUCCGAGCUUAACUCGGAAAUGGCGCUGGAAACUGCACUGCUAGAGGGUUGGAGGGGGGACUGGAAUACUUGGUGUAGCAGUGAAAUGCGUAGAUAUCAAGUGGAACACCAGUGGCGAAGGCGAGUCCCUGGACAACUCCUGACACUGAGGCACGAAAGCUAGGGGAGCAAACAGG